UGGGGAAUCUUGGACAAUGGGGGCAACCCUGAUCCAGCAAUACCGCGUGUGUGAAGAAGGCCUUCGGGUUGUAAAGCACUUUAGGUGGGGAAGAAAAGGCUACGAGGAAUAUUCGUAGUUGCUGACGGUACCCACAGAAUAAGCACCGGCUAACUCUGUGCCAGCAGCCGCGGUAAUACAGAGGGUGCAAGCGUUAAUCAGAAUGACUGGGCGUAAAGGGCGUGUAGGUGGUUGACUAGGUUUGAUGUGAAAUCCCCGGGCUUAACCUGGGAAUGGCGUCGAAAACGGGUUGACUAGAGUGAGAGAGAGGGUUGUGGAAUUUCCGGUGUAGCGGUGAAAUGCGUAGAUAUCGGAAAGAACAUCAGUGGCGAAGGCGACAAUCUGGCUCUUAACUGACACU
rnacentral:rRNA from 1 species